CGGCUUGAAAUGCAGGUGCAGCUGGACUUUUAUCUGAGCUAAAAGCAUAUCUAUUUAGUCCUCGUCAAACAGGAUUAUUACUAUUGCUGCAGCUAACAUAAAGGAUAAUUGUCCUCAUUGCUGACUGAUGCGAUUGAUUACGACACUUAUGUGUUGUUCAACUCGAUCUCAAAUCAAGUAAGACUACCCGCUGAACUUAA
rnacentral:misc_RNA from 1 species